GAUGAACGCUGGCGGCGUGCCUAAUACAUGCAAGUCGAGCGAACGGACGAGAAGCUUGCUUUUCUGGUGUUAGCGGCGGACGGGUGAGUAACACGUGGAUAACCUACCUAUAAGACUGGGAUAACUUCGGGAAACCGGAGCUAAUACCGGAUAAUAUUUUGAACCGCAUGGUUCAAAAGUGAAAGACGGUCUUGCUGUCACUUAUAGAUGGAUCCGCGCUGCAUUAGCUAGUUGGUAAGGUAACGGCUUACCAAGGCAACGAUGCAUAGCCGACCUGAGAGGGUGAUCGGCCACACUGGAACUGAGACACGGUCCAGACUCCUACGGGAGGCAGCAGUAGGGAAUCUUCCGCAAUGGGCGAAAGCCUGACGGAGCAACGCCGCGUGAGUGAUGAAGGUCUUCGGAUCGUAAAACUCUGUUAUUAGGGAAGAACAUAUGUGUAAGUAACUGUGCACAUCUUGACGGUAUCUAAUCAGAAAGCCACGGCUAACUACGUG
rnacentral:rRNA from 1 species